rnacentral:lncRNA from 1 species
CCAGGUGUAGCCUUUAUUUCCUGUACACAUUUUCAGAAAAAAUGCAAUGAAAAGUAAGGAAUUUAGUAAAUUUAAUUGAAAUGUAACUCAGAAGACAGUGUAAAAUGGGCUGAGUACCUGAUAAAAUUGGCCAGUGAGAAAAGGACGAUCCACAUUCCAACCAGGAGUAGAUACUGAAUCCAUGUUCUAAUCUUCUCAAAUCUUCAAAUUGCCGCGGCAGUUAAAUACCACAAUGCCACAGCAGUUCACUUGUUAACUCGCAAAAGGACUGAUUUUAAAUAAUGUUUCUCAAAUUUAAUGGUUAGAUUUAGCUGCUGCAGAUGAAAAUUUUGGGAAAGCAAAGCAGGCGCG